rnacentral:rRNA from 1 species
CCUACGGGGGGCUGCAGUGGGGAAUAUUGCACAAUGGGCGCAAGCCUGAUGCAGCCAUGCCGCGUGUGUGAAGAAGGCCUUCGGGUUGUAAAGCACUUUCAGCGGGGAGGAAGGCGUUAAGGUUAAUAACCUUGUCGAUUGACGUUACCCGCAGAAGAAGCACCGGCUAACUCCGUGCCAGCAGCCGCGGUAAUACGGAGGGUGCAAGCGUUAAUCGGAAUUACUGGGCGUAAAGCGCACGCAGGCGGUCUGUCAAGUCGGAUGUGAAAUCCCCGGGCUCAACCUGGGAACUGCAUUCGAAACUGGCAGGCUAGGGUCUUGUAGAGGGGGGUAGAAUUCCAGGUGUAGCGGUGAAAUGCGUAGAGAUCUGGAGGAAUACCGGUGGCGAAGGCGGCCCCCUGGACAAAGACUGACGCUCAGGUGCGAAAGCGUGGGGAGCAAACAGGAUUAGAUACCCGAGUAGUC